rnacentral:rRNA from 1 species
UACGGGAGGGUGCAAGCGUUUAAUCGGAAUUACUGGGCGUAAAGCGCACGCAGGUGGCUGAGUCAGUCGAUUGUGAAAGCCCUGGGCUUAACCUGGGAAUUGCAGUCGAUACUACUCAGCUAGAGUAUGGGAGAGGGCAGUGGAAUUCCCGGUGUAGCGGUGAAAUGCGUAGAUAUCGGGAGGAACAUCAGUGGCGAAGGCGGCUGCCUGGCCCAAUACUGACACUCAGGUGCGACGAGCG